UAAAAUACUCAAACCAACGGCUGUGUGAAACUGACACCCCACUCACGUCAAAAAAUCCAGCAAAUAGUCUGAAUGGUUAGUGCUCCGUUUGUGCAGGUUUGUGUCGUUAAAAUUUUCGUUUGUGCAGUUUUG